AUUGAACGCUGGCGGCAUGCUUUACACAUGCAAGUCGAACGGUAACAGGCCGCAAGGUGCUGACGAGUGGCGAACGGGUGAGUAAUGCAUCGGAACGUGCCCAGUCGUGGGGGAUAACGCAGCGAAAGCUGUGCUAAUACCGCAUACGAUCUAUGGAUGAAAGCGGGGGACCGUAAGGCCUCGCGCGAUUGGAGCGGCCGAUGUCAGAUUAGGUAGUUGGUGGGGUAAAGGCUCACCAAGCCGACGAUCUGUAGCUGGUCUGAGAGGACGACCAGCCACACUGGGACUGAGACACGGCCCAGACUCCUACGGGAGGUAGCAGUGGGGAAUUUUGGACAAUGGGCGUAAGCCUGAUCCAGCAAUGCCGCGUGCAGGAAGAAGGCCUUCGGGUUGUAAACUGCUUUUGUACGGAACGAAAAGGUUUGGGUUAAUACCCUGGGCCGAUGACGGUACCGUAAGAAUAAGCACCGGCUAACUACGUGCCAGCCGCCGCCGUAA
rnacentral:rRNA from 1 species